rnacentral:rRNA from 1 species
UACGGGAGGCAGCAGUGGGGAAUAUUGCACAAUGGGCGAAAGCCUGAUGCAGCUAUGCCGCGUGUAUGAAGAAGGCCUUAGGGUUGUAAAGUACUUUCAUCGGGGAGGAAAAACAAAACUAAUAAUUUUAUUUCUUGACGUUACCCGAAAAAGAAGCACCGGCUAACUCCGUGCCAGCAGCCGCGGUAAUACGGAGGGUGCUAGCGUUAAUCAGAAUUACUGGGCGUAAAGAGCACGUAGGUGGUUUUUUUAAAGUCAGAUGUGAAAUCCCUGGGCUUAACCUAGGAACUGCAUUUUGAAACUGAAAUACUAGAGUAUCGUAGAGGGAGGUAGAAUUCUAGGUGUAGCGGUGAAAUGCGUAGAUAUCUGGAGGAAUACCUGUGGCGAAAGCGGCCUCCUAAACGAAUACUGACACUGAGGUGCGAAAGCGUGGGGAGCAAAACAGGGAUUAGAUACC